UGGGGAAUAUUGGACAAUGGGGGAAACCCUGAUCCAGCAAUGCCGCGUGUGUGAAGAAGGCCCUCGGGUUGUAAAGCACUUUCGGUUAGGAAGAAAAGCUUGUGGCUAAUAUCCAUGAGCGUUGACGUUACUAACAUAAGAAGCACCGGCUAACUCUGUGCCAGCAGCCGCGGUAAUACAGAGGGUGCAAGCGUUAAUCGGAAUUAUUGGGCGUAAAGAGCACGUAGGCGGAUUAGAAAGUUGGAUGUGAAAGCCCUGGGCUCAACCUGGGAACUGCAUUCAAAACUACUAGUCUAGAGUAUAGGAGAGGAAAGCGGAAUUUCCGGUGUAGCAGUGAAAUGCGUAGAUAUCGGAAGGAACAUCAGUGGCGAAGGCGGCUUUCUGGCCUAAUACUGACGCUGAGGUGCGAAAGCGUGGGGAGCAAACAGG
rnacentral:rRNA from 1 species